rnacentral:rRNA from 1 species
UGGGGAAUUUUGGACAAUGGGCGAAAGCCUGAUCCAGCAAUGCCGCGUGUGUGAAGAAGGCCUUCGGGUUGUAAAGCACUUUUGUCCGGAAAGAAAUGGCUCUGGUUAAUACCUGGGGUCGAUGACGGUACCGGAAGAAUAAGGACCGGCUAACUACGUGCCAGCAGCCGCGGUAAUACGUAGGGUCCAAGCGUUAAUCGGAAUUACUGGGCGUAAAGCGUGCGCAGGCGGUUGUGCAAGACCGAUGUGAAAUCCCCGAGCUUAACUUGGGAAUUGCAUUGGUGACUGCACGGCUAGAGUGUGUCAGAGGGGGGUUAGAAUUCCACGUGUAGCAGUGAAAUGCGUAGAGAUGUGGAGGAAUACCGAUGGCGAAGGCAGCCCCCUGGGAUAACACUGACGCUCAUGCACGAAAGCGUGGGGAGCAAACAGGAUUAGAUACCCUGGUAGUCCACGCCCUAAACGAUGUCAACUAGUUGUUGGGGAUUCAUUUCCUUAGUAACGUAGCUAACGCGUGAAG